UAAGGCUGAUGUCAGGACUGGAGUACCUCUCCUGUGAAGAUUGGCUGAGAGAGUUGGGGCUGUUCAGCCUGGUGAACAGAAGGCUCCAGGGGCAUCUUAGAGCAGCCUUCCGG